UAGCUCGCCUCUCCACGAUGC
rnacentral:miRNA from 1 species